AAAUAGGUCUUUCUCAAGACCACUAACGAGUAAAGUAUAAACUUUA
rfam:Oxytricha trifallax strain JRB310 Contig13287.0 macronuclear, whole genome shotgun sequence.